rnacentral:rRNA from 1 species
CCUACGGGAGGCAGCAGUGGGGAAUAUUGGACAAUGGGCGCAAGCCUGAUCCAGCCAUGCCGCGUGUGUGAAGAAGGCCUUCGGGUUGUAAAGCACUUUAAGUUGGGAGGAAGGUUGCUUGGCUAAUAUCCAAGCGAAUUGACGUUACCAACAGAAUAAGCACCGGCUAAUUCCGUGCCAGCAGCCGCGGUAAU